rnacentral:lncRNA from 1 species
GUAGCUUAAUUUUGUAGAUUAUAUCGCUUCCUUUUUCUCAAAAUUGUAACCAUCGAGAACCCUCAUCAAUUCAUUUCAAAUAGGUUCAUCUUUUGUGCUUUAAUUAUCACAGCAUCCUUUUCAGUUUCUUAACCUUUUUCAUCUCAGAUUUGUCGAGUCAACUUGACCUUUAAUUAUCCUAAACGGAAAUCUCCACAUAUAUAUCAUCUCGUAAUUUCGUAAAAAGGUGUUGAGAUAAGUACAUGACUUCAAUUCAUCUAGAGUUAGAGAUAGAUACAUUCAGAAAAUGGCCUCAACACAUUAAUUUCGUCCCAUAUUCCAAAAAUCCUUGUACAUGUUUAUUUUCUUUUGUACAUCCUAGGUAAAUUUUUUAUGUACCUUUAUUUAUGCUAGUAUCAUGAGAAAAUUGAAGAAAAAGUGUCUUUUAAGUCUUGAAUGAGGAUUGGUGACAUUGACCAACUUAAAGGGUUAAACAUUAUUAGAAAACUUGAUUAAGUUAAUUAUGAACUUAUUAAUAUUUUCAAAACUUUCUAAUCUUUUCAAAAAUACAAAUCAACCCACACCUCUCUUCAAUCCAAAUCAACCAGUCUCUCUCCUCUUUCUCCCUCUCGACAGCUUUUCUCAACUCUCUCCCAACCAACAGUUCUGCAAAAUUCUUCCUUCAAUCCCCGGCGACUUGAUACAAGGAUGACCAAGAACACAAGAAAACAUACACCAAAACAGUUCACAAGUUGAGGAAACCCAAGACUAUUUUGGUGACCACUCUCAGAUUCGCUACUUAUAACAAGAACAGACAGAACAACGAGUGUUAACACCCCAAAACAACCAACUAACAAGUUAUAUUAGCACAAUACAAUGAAGAAUAACAAGGCUACAACAACUAGAACCUACGAGUUUUACAACAAUACAAGGGAAAUCCGAAACUAGAACAAGAAACAAAGAUAGAUAGUUAGACACAAUGAAGUUGUAAUCUUAAUGAUACGGGUACAACCACGAGGAUGCACGUAUGUGAGAAUGAAUUGGACCCGUCCAAUAAAGCAUCUAAGUGAAGUGUGGAGAAGACCUUGGAUCACACCAAAACCGACCCUAAACUUGCACUCCAAGGGCGCCCUUGGUCACAUUUCAUUAAAAGAACCUUUUGGUUAUUUUACCUAUUAUUUGUAAUACACUAUAAAUAGAAUGAUGUAGAGUUUUAGUCAAUAGUUUUUGUUGAAUAUUGAAGUUGUAACACUUGAAACUCUCUCUCUUGUGAGAAAGGCCCCCAUGGCCGAAACUUGUAACUAGGGAAAUCAACAUUGAGUAUGGAUUCACUCGUCUUGGACUCAAGCUUGGAAACGUUGGAUGCUUGGGAGAUUGAGGUCACUCUUGUGCCACCGUAAGAGUUAGGUAUUUGUUGUGUGUGAUGUUAAAGGUCUAAAAGUGGAAUAGGCUUUUGGGUUUUUAAGAUUAUACCUUCAAUUUGUCUAACUAUUUAUCCUUUUACCUUCUUGUAAUCUUAUUUAGUGUUUGUGUUGUAAUCUUGUGUUCUUGUUGUUAUUGUUAAAUCCGAAUCUUGUGUAUUCUUGUUCAUCAUCUUAUGUUUUUAAUCUAGUUUGUUGUCCACUGAUUUGAUGUAAUAAAUACCUUGUUAUCUUCUUGUUAUUGUGUUCUUGAAAAGCCGAGACUUAUCUCCAAAAGGGUUCACGGAUUUCUUCCAUUUUGUAGACUGUCUUUCGACUGAUUUCGUAUUUUCGUUGUUUUUCUCGUAUCAUUUGGUAUCAGAGCAUGGCUUGAUCUUGUUCCUACAAGAUCAAUCUUGGGCUUGCUUGAUAGAAAUUUAAAAACAAGUGUUAGAAAACUGAAAAAUCAAAAAGAAGCAAAUCUGUCCAUUUUGUGUUCUUGGCCGAAAUUGUGUUAUUGUUGUGUCUUGGCCGAGAUUUUUACUUAUUUUGUUGUUUCUAGUGUUAGUUUUCUUUAUCUCUAACACUCUUAAGUCUAAAUCUAAGUUUGAGCUUACAUUGUUGGUGUUGUUUUCGUGAACAAAAGGCUUGGCCGAAUUGUUAUUGAAACAUUGUUGUGGUGGACUGUUUUGACCUUGUGGUCUUCAUCUUGUUGUUGUUCUAAGCUUGGCCACAUGAUAUUUUUGUUCAUUGGUGGCCUAAGAACCAUUUUAUUGAAAUUGUAGUUGUCUUGGCCAAGUGUUGAAGGUAUUGUAUUGUGAAAUUAGAAGUUGGCCGUGUGAAAAUUGUGGUAUUUUUGGAGAUUCCUGUUGGUUGUUCUUGGUGAUUGUUGAUGUUGUUCUUGAAGUUCUUCACAACCUUCAUAGCUUGUUAAUAUAAAGUGAACAUUAGAUCUAUAAAGGUGAAUGAAAAAAGGGUUGAAGCUUUGUUAGUCUUGAAAGACGUCUCAUCACUCAUCAAAUAGUCAAUCACAUCUCAACCACUUUCCAACAACUUUCCAUAAAACAAGGGUCCAUGUUAUAAGGAUAAGUACAAGAAAGUCAAAGUCUUGAAAACUUGAAUUUGAAAAGUCUUCAAGACUUGUUUGAAUUUUCCUCCUUAAAACAAAUUUCACCAAUUCCUAAAUUGUAAAUUGACUACGACUUGAAAUUGGACAAUAAAAAAAAAAUUGUUAGAAAUCGCAACCAAUUACGUGCUGCCACGUCAUCAUUGUUACUGUUCACACAACAUAUUUAAGCUCAAAUUUCAGAUUUCUUAGUUUCCUUUUGUGGUUCCUUUGUUUCAAUUUCGUUGGUUCCAAUACUAAUUGGCAAACUAGUACUCAUCUACUAGAUUGUUAGUUAGUCUUUGUGUUCGUUCAUUCGUGUUAAAUAUUUGUUGUAUGCUUUUCUCUUUUAUGAAUUCGUUGUAUCUUGUUGGUUCAAGUCCGUAAAUAAAUUUUCUUUGAGUCAACUCAAACGAAAAUCCAUUCCGGACAAGAGUAGACUGACCCUCAAUCACUCACGAAGUACAAGCCGGCUUUCAACACUUGUGAAACCAAGUGUGAGGUAAAAUCGAGAGUGAGAGUGUGGUGAGACAUUUUGAACUAACAAGUUUGUUUUGUUGUUUGUUGUUGUCCUUUGCUUUAGGUACCAUGACUGCCACUAAUCUUGAUGCCACGUUUGAUCGCAUCAAUGAUAAUAUUAAUCAUUUUAUAUAAAAAUAAUUUACACCUAAAUUUUUAAAUAAAAUAAAUUGCAAGCAAAUGUUAUGUAUCAUACAUAUUAAUCGAUAAAUCAAGGAAAUCAUUGAUGAAAUAUAAUUAAAUAAAUAUUAUACAUGGCAAAACUUGUCAACAAUUUCAACCGUCACAAUCACAACAAUUCUCUGCCCUAUACGCUAAUUAUUUUUCAAAUAUUGGUGGAUCUAAAAAGGACCUGCCAGAUUACUAAAUUAUUGAUGUAAUUUUCUAAAUUAUUAUGUUGUGUUGUAUUUUUCAAUUUUGAUGUAUGUCAAUUACUACCUUAUUGAAUGUUUAUUGUCCUGUUAUUUAAAGUAUAUAUUGUGUUAUUUAUUAACAACAUGUUAUAUUUGCACUUUCAUUUUUGUGAUGGUUAUAAAUUUUUAUACAAUUAUAAAUUAUAAUAAAAUUAACUUAUAUUAUUACAAAACUUAAUUUAUAAAGGUAGUGAAGCUGGAUUCUCAGGCUAUUUAGAAAAGGAAGAGUUUCAUGUAUUUAAGGUUUAUAAUUCAGGGAAAUGGUGAGAUUGACUAGGAUGUCACACACCGUAUUAGGGCAGGGUUGUUGAAAUUGAGGCUCACUUCGAGAGUUUUAUGUAAUAAGAAGGUACCUCCGAAGCUUAAAGGUAAGUUAUGCAGAAUGUCAGUCCGACCAACUAUGUUGUACGGGAUCAAAUUUUGGCUAGUUAAAAACUCCUACAUCCAAAACUUAAAGGUGGCGGGGAGGAGGAUGUUGCGAUGGAAGUGUGGCCAUACCAGAAAAGAUAAGGUGACGAAUAAGAUUAUUCGAGAAAAGGUGGGAGUGGUUUCGGUGGAGGAAAAAAAUGAGAGAAGUGAGGUUACAUUGAUUUGGGGCACGUGAUGAAGAGGGGCUCUGAUACUCCAGUUCGGAGGUGUGAGACACUGGCUAUAAAUAAUUUUAGGCGGGGUAGAGGUAGACUGAAGAAAUAUUGAAGGGAUAUGAUUAGACAUGAUAUGAAAUAGUUACAGCUUACGGAGGACAUGACCCUUGAUAGGAAGGUGUAGAGGACACGAAUUAGGGUAGAGGGUUAGGGGGUGAAAGUGCGUCGGUAACAGUAGGGGAUCGUUCUUUAUUUGUGACUGAAGUUUCUCGUUCAUGGUGUUGAGUGAUGUCUAUGGUUUCGAUUAGAUAAUUUUUAGUGUUAUCUUGUGACUGUAGUAUUACCUUGUGACUGACAGUGUUAGUUUAUUUUGCAUACUGUAUUAGUUUAUAUGCAUUUAUAUUUUGUGUUUCUUAUAGUGUUAUUGGUCCUAAGCAAGAGGUCUAUCGAAAAUAGCCUCUCUACUUCACUCUGCGUACACUCUAUCCUUCCCAGACAUCCACUCUGUGGGAAUACACUAAUAUGUUGUUGUUGUUGAAUUUAAAAUUAAAAUUAAGAUUAAUAUAAAAAUAAUUAAAUAAAAACUAAUUACAAAUAUUAGUGAUUUAAUUGAUUUUAUAAUUUAUAAUACUUAAUUAAAAAUGUUAUAUAAUAAAAAUAAUAAUAAAAUAUUUAAAUAAUAAUUGAAGUUGAUGAAUAGUGUCGCAUUAAAUUUGACCUGACACUAUUCACACUUCAAAUUUGAUACAAAACAUUGCGAGGUUGGAGUGCCUUGCUUCAAAUUUUGGCAUUUGAAGCAAAAUUUGAAGCAAGGUUGGAGGUGGUCUGAGUAGCAAGAUGUGUACCCUAUUAUCCUAUUAGCUUGUCACUCUCCUUGCAAGUAGGUGUACAAUUGGGACAGGCCCACUCUCUUCUAUGCGGCUCUUGUUGUGAACGGUUGAUUUUUCAAGAUAACGUAUCAACGUCAUCCAUAUUUUGUUGUUCCCAUAUUUUUCUUUCUUUUUCUUUUUUCUUUUUUGAGAAAAGAAAAACAAUUUGCCUAUUCUUGGAAGUUGACAACUUAUUGAGGAUGUAAAGGACAUUUUGGGGUUUUCAUGAUUCUGGGCUAAGUGGAAAGGAUAUUUGGUUAACCGAAUGUUUUUCUGACAAUGAUCAUUGAUUGUUGGUACUAGGGCUGAUCAAAGUUGGCUUUACUUUCCGGACAAUCUGUAAGGUACUUCAAAGCUCUCAAAAAGAGAAGUGUUGAAAUGCUGUUUGUUAGCAGUAAUAUAUCAUAAGGUAACUUUUCAUUGUGGAUUCCCCUGCCCGGUCAAUGUGGUCUCUUUCAUAUUAUAUUAUGCGCUAAAAACCACUCGGUAGGAACUGAAUUUGUGAUUUCAUUACUUACUAUUUCGUUAAAAAGGACUACUUUAUUUUCCCACUUGGUGAAGAUAUCCCAUACAGACUACUAUCAAAUUUUUUUUACAUAGUUGAGUAAUUUUACUGCCUGUGACUCUGUUGAGGUUGUACAGUAGAGUUGGGUCUCUACUCUCCUUUAGUAAGAGAAAGAGAAGCAGGAAAAUAUGCUUUUUCUUGUGGGCCAGUGCUGUCAAAAUUAUUGUUAUCAACAAGGGAAAUUUUUGGCCGCUGGGUCUUUGCAGGAAUUAGUAAGGGGCAAUUCAAAUACUAUCGCUAUCCAAAUUUUGGUCUUCCAAGUAUGCUUGGAUUUAUGAUGGUAGUCAUUUUCAUUGUAAUUAGCCCAUAACCCUAAUUACCAUGGAAUUGGAAUCACCGUCAGUAGUUAAAAGAUAUCUGUUUUCUCACCAAAAUGGCAUUUAUUGCAUCUGUCGGUUUUAUGGAUUUCAGAUAUUUCUCAUGUUCUAACUAAAAUUGGGUCCCUUCCCUUUUCUUCAUCAAUAAGGUCAGCAGCUGUUGAUUUGGCGAAGAUUUGAUCACUGUGUUUGGCUAUUUUGGUUUCUCUUCUCAUUGGUCUGCUACAUCUGGCUUCUGAUACUCCAAUCUACCAGUUAAAUUGUUGAAUGCCAUAUCUUGCCGGCCCAGUAACUCACAUCACAAUUUCCCUUUCUACUUUGCUAAAAUUCUAAUUCUCUUUUGGAGAUGAUUGUUCAAGUUUUUUUGCGGGACUGUUGAGAACUUGUUCUUCAGAUUCACUUUCUGCGUAAAAGCUUGAUAUCAAAACUAUUUAGGUUAGAUGACAAUAGAUGAGUCAAGUAGCUCCAUAUGGAGUAGAGAGCAAGAUAAGGCAUUUGAGAAUGCCCUGGCAACUUACCCUGAGGAUUCUGCAGAUAGGUGGGAGAAAAUUGCGACUGAUGUUCCAGAAAAAACAUUAGAAGAGGUUAAGCAUCACUACGACCUCUUACUAGAAGAUGUUAGCCGGAUCGAGUCCGGCAGUGUUCCUUUACCUUGUUAUAACUCUUCUUCGGACAGUUCUACAAGUCAUGGUGGUGAUGAUGGAACUGGAAAGAAGACUGGGAAUUCAGGGAACUUAAAUGGUGAAUCAAAUCAUGGAGGUAAGUCUAUGAGGGCAGAUCAGGAGCGCCGCAAAGGCAUUGCUUGGACAGAGGAUGAGCAUAGGUCGGUAACACCAUUGCUUUAUAUCUAGAAGUCUUUGUACUCUAUAUAUAUUAAAAGAUUCACACAUACAUAUUGUCAAAGUUUAUACUAAGUGCAAGCCAUUUAUUUUAUCCACUAUGGUGUACUAUCCCUGUCUCAUCUUAUGUUUAUUUUAGUGUAUCCAUACAAUGACUAAAAGAUGCUUGCACUUCUGUGAUUAGUGGGAUACAGAGGAAUUCUUUUACUCUCUGUGAUCAUGUAUUCCUAAGCUUGAGGUUGAUCAAUUUGUGCUAGAAAUGUUUGGUGUUUAUCUUACUGUGCAAAUGCUUCUUAUGUAUGAUUGCAUGUUACAUCUUAAACAAUAUGCUGAGUCUGCAGUCAAUUCUACUAGAUCCUGGAGACUUGUUUGUACUGCUUAUGUCACUCAUGCAAGUACCACAAUAUAUUUGCAUAUAAAGCUUUGUCAAGCUUGAGCUUUUGUCACGUAAAAUCAAAGCAGAGAGAGUACCUUGAUAUUCAUUUCUCACUUGCUUGCAAGAAAUAAUGUUGAGUGCAUGUGUUCCAUUUAUAAUGUUUAUGCUAAGAGAAAUGUGGACACUGUUUGGUUGAAUUUGAAAAGGAGAAAAUAGAACAGUAUUGACAUUUUAUGUGAGAUAAGUUCAUUUGGAGUAUUAAGUUAGUGGCUUAUAGCAAUGUUUAUGUGAAGCCAGUGUAAGAGUGUCAAGUAUUCUAUGGUUAAAUGAGUAGUUUAGAUAUGAAAAGUUGGGUAUCUAUAAGUAAAACUAAAUUCAGGGAGAAAAUAUCUUAAACGCCCUGUUUAUCAUUACUUGCACCAGUUCAUCAAGAAGGCUGGUUAGAUUCUUUUGUUUUUCUACUCUUGUAUGCAAAACGAUUUUGUCAAAAUCUGUCAUCAGCCUAGCAACCCUAUUAUUGAAGAACAAUAAGCUGAUCCUGAGCAGAUGAAAAACUCCUAAUCGCUGCAUAAUUCAAAAAAAAGAAGAUAAAAAUAGCCUCUGUAAUUCUUCGUAUUUUAAUACUGACUGUGCCACUGAGAAUUCAUAGCUCAAAAGAGUUCUAUUAGAAUACAUAGUUUCAAGAUAUUAGUGGUAACCUUCCUUACCCCCACAAUGAAUUCAACCUUGUGAUGACAAGACAGGGAUAAUCUUGUGGAAAGUCCACUCCAACUUUGAGAUCAAGGGUUCGAGUAACCAAUGGACCAAGGCGGGAAAGGGCCUAUUGAGUCCUGGAAGGGGUGUUUGCCGGAUGGGUUUGCCAUAUCAAAAAAGAAAAAGAUACAACCUUGUGAUCCAUCUUUCUUUUCUAUUCUGUAUUUCUCUAAAACCUCCCAAUGAGCGGCGCUAAUUUAACUGUAUUGGUUAACAUGUUUUACUGAAGUGAGCUUGUAUACGAAUUGCUAUGCAUUGUUCAAAGUUUUGAAAACGAACCAACAAAAAAAAAGAACCAAAAAUCAAGGAAGGAAAGUUUUUCAAAUACUCAAAAACUUUGAUACUUUAGAGUUAUGCUGCUCCGACUCGGGUGUUAGCGUCCGAUGCGGGUGCGGAUCUAGAGGUCGGAUCCUUCAGGAUCUAAGUUUUAAUAUUUG